GGCCCUAUGGUCAAGUGGUCUAAGACAUCGCCCUUUCACGGCGGUAACCCGAGUUCGAACCUCGGUAGGGUCA
rnacentral:tRNA from 1 species